AUUGAACGCUGGCGGCAUGCCUUACACAUGCAAGUCGAACGGCAGCACGGGGCAACCUGGUGGCGAGUGGCGAACGGGUGAGUAAUGCAUCGGAACGUACCUUUCAGUGGGGGAUAACGUAGCGAAAGUUACGCUAAUACCGCAUAUUCUGUGAGCAGGAAAGCAGGGGAUCGCAAGACCUUGCGCUGAUUGAGCGGCCGAUGUCAGAUUAGCUAGUUGGGGAGGUAAAGGCUCACCAAGGCGACGAUCUGUAGCGGGUCUGAGAGGAUGAUCCGCCACACUGGAACUGAGACACGGUCCAGACUCCUACGGGAGGCAGCAGUGGGGAAUUUUGGACCAUGGGGCAACCCUGAUCCAGCCAUGCCGCGUGAGUGAAGAAGGCCUUCGGGUUGUAAAGCUCUUUCGGCCGGGAAGAAAUCGCACGGGCUAAUACCCUGUGUGGAUGACGGUACCGGAAUAAGAAGCACCGGCUAACUACGUGCCAGCCGCCGCCGUAACAC
rnacentral:rRNA from 1 species